rnacentral:rRNA from 1 species
GAUGAACGCUGGCGGCGUGCCUAAUACAUGCAAGUCGAGCGAACGGACGAGAAGCUUGCUUCUCUGAUGUUAGCGGCGGACGGGUGAGUAACACGUGGAUAACCUACCUAUAAGACUGGGAUAACUUCGGGAAACCGGAGCUAAUGCCGGAUAAUAUUUUGAACCGCAUGGUUCAAAAGUGAAAGACGGUCUUGCUGUCACUUAUAGAUGGAUCCGCGCUGCAUUAGCUAGUUGGUAAGGUAACGGCUUACCAAGGCAACGAUGCAUAGCCGACCUGAGAGGGUGAUCGGCCACAAUGGAACUGAGAAAAGGUCCAGACUCCUAAGGGAGGCAGCAGUAGGGAAUCUUCCGCAAUGGGCGAAAGCCUGACGGAGCAACGCCGCGUGAGUGAUGAAGGUCUUCGGAUCGUAAAACUCUGUUAUUAGGGAAGAACAUAUGUGUAAGUAACUGUGCACAUCUUGACGGUACCUAAUCAGAAAGCCACGGCUAACUACGUG